UACGCCCACAUCACGUUGAAACACCAAUUCCCGCACAAUCACCGAAGUUAAGCAACGUCGAGCCUGGUCAGUACUUAGAUGGGUGACUGAUCGGAAAUAACACGUGCUGCAAG